AACUCCUUCCUCCUGCCUCAAUGGCAACGCUCACCGGUUGAUUCGCGACUGCCUUUUUCAAUGCUUUCUCGUCAUUUACCGGAACAUCCUCAUAAUCAUUGAUCGAAACAACUUUAGCAUUUUUCUGCAAGGUGAUUAAAAACACCAAGAUUCAGCAAGGAAAUUGAAAUUCUAUCUUUGUUCCUUUCCCAACUCUAAAAAUAUGAAACCUACCCGGUAUGGGUCACAUGUACCGUCACGAGCGGUGUAAGGGUAAUCUUCUUCGGUGUCAAUGCCACCAUUUUUGAUGAUGAAUUCAAAGGCAUAAUCCAUGAGACCCCCAUUGCAACCUUCAUUGUAAGAUGUAUCACAAUCCACCAACUCCUGCUCAGAUAGUGAAAGGAGUUCGCCUGUAACAAUCUGGUUUAUCCCUUCCACAGCAGCAAUAGUCGAGAAAGCCCAGCAACUCCCUGUAUUUAACAUUAAAUUCUCAGUAAAAUCAUCUUAUUACAAACAUGUAAUAACUAUUUAAUAUAUUAUAUAAAAACAUUGGAAUCUAUCAAUUCAUUAAGCUGUCUAUAUCUUAUGUGGUUCAACUUUUACAGUGGAGUAAGCCCCUGAACUUUCGUGCAAGGAACCUUACUCCUUACCCCACCGAAAGCAGCCACCUCAAGCACUGACACUUCCACUAACUGCAGGGCUGCGAAAGCAUCCUUAUAUCCGACACAAUACUACUAUAGGUCAUAGUUCAUGGGUCGGGUCUAACUUUCCGCGAACCGUUGCAUCUGUUCAAAAUGCUCCCACCCUAUAAAUCCAUCAAAAUUUCGGACAAAAUCGGAUGAUAAAACUGUUCUUCUUAAGUCGACAAUUAUAUUUAUAUAUUUUAAUCCCAUUCACUUAAAAAAUAAGAAAAUCAAUCUAUAUACAUUAAAUCAAAAAAAUAAAUUAAUCUUUUUUGUUAAAUAUUUUAUCCGGUUAAAAACUAAUAUGACUGAAUCAAUAAUAAGACAGUGAGUCACGAAUGAGACCGAGACCAAUUUUUAAGGUAAGAUAUUAAAAUUUCUUUCAACAAAAAUACCGAUUUACUCUAAUCUACUUUCUUACUUUUACCUUAUAUAAGACACCUACAUAUAUCCAAUACUCCACCUCAAAAUCUGAAUAACCAAACAGAACCCACACAAGCAAAGGUUUCUAAGAUAAGGACAGAGACAGGAACCUUCCCUGAAACAUCGGAACUAAGUUAUUUGUUUAAUUUUUUUUGUUCUUUCUCUCCAGGUUUUACAGUUGGCUCAAGAUAAUUAGUGUCUAUCUGGCGGCAGAAGACAUGGAUAGAUUUAUUUGACAGAAACAAAACAAAAUCAUCUGAAAAUAUAAGUUAAAAUGCUAGUUUUCAGACAGACAAGAGAAGCAUCCAUAAAAGAAAAUUGAGAGAGAAACUUACCGCAACUUCCUUGAUCUUUGACUUCAGCGACAGCCCCUUUUUCCCUCCAAUCAACGGAAUCGGGCAACUUUUCGCCGAGAAGCGCGGCGUAUCGGUCACUGGCCUUGGAAACUUUCCGGUUGGCUUUCUUGAUUCCCAAGUAGAUGGCUCGGUACUCCUCGUUGGUAAGAUCAGCAAAGCGGUUCAAACCAACCUUAAAACUCUGACUCUCAUCGGCGUUAUGUUCAUCGAUGAACCUAAGGUUAUCCUUAAAAAUCUGGAACCUCCUCUCUUUCUCACCCAAACCGUUGUAUGUUUUUCCAUGCUUUACAAGCCACUCCUCGUACAUGGCCAUAACUUCGUCGUCUGUUCUCCAACUAGACGUUGACUUGUCGGGAUGGGUUUCAUCGUAGGAUAUAAUGGACAUGUCGG
rnacentral:lncRNA from 1 species